CCUGCCACUCAUAACUCAGACAAGCAGAUGAUUUUAUAUCCGAGAAAAUAAAUAGGUGUGUUCCCCUAGACAUCCCAAAUUUAAUAAAACAUUGAAGUUGUCUUUGUCUUAUCAUAAAUUUAUACUCCACUACUCUCGACAACACGCACACAAUACACGAUCGUCGUCAGAUCACCCAUAGACAAGUGUUGGGUGUUCUUAUCCGCGUAAUCCCCUUUCGCGCGCCACGACUGAAGCGACUACACUCUCACCUACCGGGUUGAAACAAGUGCACAUUAGACGGGUGUCAUGUGCAAAUGGACAAAACUCAACAGCAGAAGGCCGAUCGAGGUUCUAGCACAACCACACUAGUAGCCAACACUAAUACUCGCAGUGCUCCACCGUGAAACUGUUAUCUCUACAAUCACGCGACUGUGUAAUCCCGCGGGAGAGAGUGAGCUACCGAAGCCGAUUGCGAACCGAUAUAGGCGUGGGGCGCACUAACAUCGACAUCAGUUACCAGUUGAAAGUCAAGCAGACCGGUUCUUCGUUCUGGAGGCCCACGAGACUCGUCCGGAGAAGUGUGCAAAUUAGGAGUCUGACUGGUAGCGUGGCUGGCCUAAGAAGGCCAAUACUUGAUCUGCGGCACUGUGUUUAACAGCCACGAGGCCACAGUGGGCAGUGAUAGUCGCAACAUCGAACGCAGUUUGCACCGCAUGUGCAGGGAGAACAACUACUGCCUGUGUGUAACUACAAUGGAGCUUGUCGAGUAGAUUGAAUCGACACAGGAGAUCGGCCUUCUAUUCUAUCCAUAUUCAACUCUAAUUUCACCAUGUCGGCUGGAGCCGUGAUGCUGUGGAACGUGUCGUGGUUGGCGUCCUGCUACGGUAAUACGGCGUGGAACGCUGGGGAUGACCGGUGUUGGGCACUGGUCACCGUCGCGGAUUUUGCCCGGGCAGUUCAUCGAAGAAGCCGCAGCCGCCGUGGGAUACACGUCACACACACACACUCCCCACACCUAGAUUAGGCCCGCCAACCAGGGUCGUGCACAG